rnacentral:rRNA from 1 species
GACGAACCGUGCGAACGUUGUUCGGAAUCACUGGGCAUAAAGGGCGCGUAGGCGGCUUUUCAAGUCAGGGGUGAAAUCUGGCAGCUCAACUGUCGAAGUGCCCUUGAUACUGAUGAGCUCGAGGGAGGUAGGGGUGUGUGGAACUUCCGGUGGAGCGGUGAAAUGCGUUGAUAUCGGAAGGAACGCCGGUGGCGAAAGCGACGCACUGGACCUCUUCUGACGCUGAGGCGCGAAAGCCAGGGGAGCAAACGGG